CUUAGCUGUCAAGAGAACCCCUAAAAAGGUCGGCAACCGAGCCCAAAAAGGUCGCGGUGCCAAAAUGACAAGCCUCUGUUAUUAAUUAGAGGAAAAAUAAAAUGAACU
rnacentral:ncRNA from 2 species